CUGUGGGAGACAUAUGCAAACAGGGAAAAGGUACAAGAAGCAGCUAUGGGAAGUGAAGGGGAAGCACUUUGGUGAUUAGACAGGAACUCUUGUUCUACGGUAUCAUCUGAAAGAUCUGCACAAAGUAAACUGCAGAGAACUCAGCAUAUCUAUCUCAAGAAGAAGGACUGAAGAAACCCUGCUGCAAUUCAAAUACUGGUUCCAGGGUGAGAUUUCCUGCCCUGCAGUGUGAACAUCAAGUUUUGUAAAAAGAAAGAAAAUUCCCUCCCUAUGGGACAGAGUCCAGAGGUUCCCAUAACUUUAAUUAGCCUAUGCACACUGUCACAGGCUACAGAACUGAGGAGGCAAAGGUGAUGAAUAGCUGCAAUCCAUGGAAUAAAACAGAGCAUGUUGAAGCCUCUUGGCCAGUUUUCAUAAGGUGGGCACAAAAAUGUUCACUGGAUGUCUUUUUUGGAAGUGAAGCCAGAUUGUCCCCAUCUUCUCACUUUCUUCUAGACUGAUGUAAAUCAGUGUCCAGUCACUUUGCCCUGUAUGUUUUU